GCAAACUUGGUCAUUUAGAGGAAGUAAAAGUCGUAACAAGGUCUCCGUUGGUGAACCAGCGGAGGGAUCAUUAUCGAGUUUAUUCAACUCCCAACCCUAUGUGAACCUACCUUUAUGUUGCUUCGGCGGUGUCGCGCCGAGUUGCUCCCCAGGGAGCUCUCGGGAUCACGCGCCCGCCGGAGACCACAAACUCUUGAUUUUGCGAAAGCAGUAUUAUUCUGAGUGGCCGAAAGGCAAAAAACAAAUGAAUCAAAACUUUCAACAACGGAUCUCUUGGUUCUGGCAUCGAUGAAGAACGCAGC
rnacentral:misc_RNA from 1 species